CACUGCUCCUUCAGCUGUAGCUCAAAGCCUGAACUCAUCAGAUCUCAGAGUCUAAGCAGGGCUGGGCCUGGUUAGUACUUGGAUGGAAGACCACGCGGAAUAUCAGGUGCCUCAGUGG
rnacentral:rRNA from 1 species